UACGUAGGGUGCAAGCGUUGUCCGGAAUUAUUGGGCGUAAAGGGCGCGUAGGUGGCCUGCUAAGUCGAACGUGAAAUCCCUGGGCUCAACCCAGGAACUGCGUCCGAUACUGGUUGGCUUGAAUCCGGGAGAGGGAUGUGGAAUUCCAGGUGUAGCGGUGAAAUGCGUAGAUAUCGGAAGGAACAUCAGUGGCGAAAGCGACUUCCUGGACCAAUACUGACGCUCAUGUGCGAAAGCGUGGGGAGCAAACAGG
rnacentral:rRNA from 1 species